ACGGAGGGGGCUAGCGUUGUUCGGAAUUACUGGGCGUAAAGCGCGCGUAGGCGGCUUUGUAAGUUAGAGGUGAAAUCCCGGGGCUCAACCCCGGAACUGCCUUUGAUACUGGUAGUCUUGAGUUCGAGAGAGGUGAGUGGAAUUCCGAGUGUAGAGGUGAAAUUCGUAGAUAUUCGGAGGAACACCAGUGGCGAAGGCGGCUCACUGGCUCGAUACUGACGCUGAGGUGCGAAAGCGUGGGGAGCGAACAGGA
rnacentral:rRNA from 1 species